rnacentral:rRNA from 1 species
UACGGGGGGGGCAAGCGUUGUUGCGGAAUUACUGGGCGUAAAGGGCUCGUAGGCGGCCAACUAAGUCAGACGGUGAAAUCCCUCGGCUUAACCGGGGAACUGCGUCUGAUACUGGAUGGCUUGAGUUUGGGAGAGGGAUGCGGAAUUCCAGGUGUAGCGGUGAAAUGGCGUAGAUAUCUGGAGGAACACCGGUGGCGAAGGCGGCGAUCCUGGACCAACACUGACGCUGAGUGAGCGAAAGCCAGGGGAGCAAACGGG